CGCGGGGUGGAGCAGCCUGGUAGCUCNGUCGGGCUCAUAACCCGNAAGGUCGUCGGUUCAAAUCCGGCCCCCGCRACCA
rnacentral:tRNA from 1 species